rnacentral:tRNA from 1 species
UCAGAGGUAGUCUAGCGGUUAAGACAUCUGCCCUGCUCAGCGGAAAGCCCAGGUUCAAACCCUGGCCUCUGAC